GCGGCCUAUCAGCUUGUUGGUGAGGUAACGGCUCACCAAGGCUCCGACGGGUAGCUGGUCUGAGAGGACGAUCAGCCACACUGGGACUGAGACACGGCCCAGACUCCUACGGGAGGCAGCAGCAGGGAAUAUUGCACAAUGGGCGCAAGCCUGAUGCAGCGACGCCGCGUGAGGGAUGACGGCCUUCGGGUUGUAAACCUCUUUCAGGAGGGACGAAGCGAAAGUGACGGUACCUCCAGAAGAAGCCCCGGCCAACUACGUGCCAGCAGCCGCGGUAAUACGUAGGGGGCGAGCGUUGUCCGGAUUCAUUGGGCGUAAAGAGCUCGUAGGCGGCUCAGUAAGUCGGCCGUGAAAGCCCGGGGCUCAACCCCGGGACGCCGGUCGAUACUGCUGUGGCUAGGGUCCGGUAGAGGAGAGUGGAAUUCCCGGUGUAGCGGUGAAAUGCGCAGAUAUCGGGAGGAACACCAGUAGCGAAGGCGGCUCUCUGGGCCGGUACCGACGCUGAGGAGCGAAAGCUAGGGGAGCAAACAGGAUUAGAUACCCUGGUAGUCCUAGCCGUAAACGUUGGGCACUAGGUGUGGCGGAUUCAUUGACAUCUGCCGUGCCGAAGCUAACGCAUUAAGUGCCCCGCCUGGGGAGUACGG
rnacentral:rRNA from 1 species